GCUUUCCCAUGUCUGUCUAAGCCGCAAGGAGCAGAGGUUUGAGCGCCCCAUGAGCACUGACGGAUCUCUCUUCUUGCCUCUCAUCCAGAAUGACGAGGACAACGGCCCUGGGUCUCCAGCUGCUCUUGGGAGGGUAGCAGGUCCUUGCCAGCACCCCCAGACCACAAACCAGUAAGUGCCCCCCUGUCGAAGUGACAGUUUCGCUCUGCUGCACUUUGAGGAAUGAAGAGGAAGGGCCACCCUCCAUGGGGGACGAAGGGCCAGCGGAGGGCAGCGCCUCCCUGCCGCAGGACAGCACACUGUCACAGCAGCGGCCCUGAGGACAGCAGUGCCCAGGGAGCGGAUCUCCACAGGGCCAUCACUCCGAGAGCACAGCCCGCUCCAAGGGGACACUCACAGCAGCUGGCAGGCACUCUUGAGGGGUGCCAGUUUCCAACAACAAGGGCCCCGGGGGUGGAGGGGUGGGGCUUGACACUGUAAUUUCAUCUUUAAGAGAAACAGAACAUCAAACAGCAACACCUCAUGCCAGGAAGACUGGGUCGCUGACAUUGGCAUGAAUUGCUGCUGGUGGGAAAACAGUAGAGGUACUUUGGGGAACACCCUGGACCCUGGACUUUCUCGAUCUGAAAGCCCUUUGCUGUCCACGACCGGUCUUUCCCUGACGGGGCCGUUCGCUGAGCCGGGGCAACGUUUAUCUUCUGUGAUAAACAAGGAGACUAAGCUGGAGAGGCUGAGAAACGCUCCCCCAGCAACAGGACCUGGCCCUACUCACCGGCCCACAGACACGGAGAAGGGGGCACGGCGACAGUGUCCUGGGCCACCGCUGCUCUGGCCUGGCACCCACUUUCUGGUCGCUUCCCCACCAGGGGGUGCAGGGCCCCGGUCGAGCUGGAUGAAAGAGGACUCCCGGCCUCGGUCUGCCAGCUUUUUGGAAAGCUAAAGAGCUCCUAAGAAAACCUGUCAUUAGCCGUCAUUCGACACGUUGGGCAAAACCCGCAACCAAGCACUUGGAAGGGUGGCUUUAGGAACACUCACCAGACCUCCUUUCUCAUUCUCAUACCCGGCAACCGCGUGGCCCGUCUCAGGGAGCCACCAUCACGUUGGUCUAUCUCUGCACAGCUGCUCAAGUACGGGUUCCAUCCCAGGAAGCCUGAGGAAGCAGGAAGUCAUCUUAGCUGAGGAAACAGACACUCUGAGCAUCCAUUCCCUGUAACCUGCUUCGUUUCCUAGGCCUUCGUACAAAAUCAAUGCCAAGGUUAAAAAAAUCUAACCAUGGGUUGGGAACAAGGCCUGGAUAUUAUUCCAAGCUCUGGCACAGGCAUGCAGUUUGUCCCUGGGCAAAUUCCUUAGCCUGUCUCUGCCUCAGUCUCAUCAUUCACAGAAUGCUGGGUAAGGAAGGGUACUUCCUUCUCGUUAUUAUGAAAGACAAGCUGUGCUUAUGUCCUUCUGCAAAAUGGGACGCCGCUUUCCUAGGAAGGGUACCAGUCAAUACCAGCGUAUGUAUCUUAAAGAGAUAAUCAGAUUAAAAGCAGCAUGGAAUAUACAAAGAAAAAUGAUUGAAUUCCUAGUGGACCAGGCAUAUUGCUGCCCUUUGGGUCCAAACGAAAAAGUAUAUCUUGAAUUACUGAAAUUUUCUCUUUUUUAAAUUUUUUUUACUUUAUUUUUUGUCUUUUUGCCAUUUCUUGGGCCGCUCCCGUGGCAUAUGGAGGUUCCCAGGCUAGGGGUCAAAUCGGAGCUGUAGCCGACAGCCUACACCAGAGCCAGAGCAAUGCCAGAUCCGAGCCGCGUCUGCGACCUACACCACAGCUCACGGCGACGCCAGAUCCUUAACCUUCUGAGCAAGGGCAGGGAUCGAACCAGCAACCUCAUGGUUCCUGGUCGGAUUCGUUAACCAUUGCUCCACGACGGAAACUCCCUGAAAUUUUCUUUCUUGCCUCAUCUAAUACAUGACAGAUUCUAAGUGUCAUUCUUACACCUCAUCCAUUAGUAAUUGCUCACUAAAUCGAAAUACUUGCUGCUUUUUCUGGUUGACUGUAUCUAGAACAUUUCCCAGUGUGUUUCAUUCAUUAUUGUACUCAACACGUUUGCUGCAUGAAUAGAUGACUGUGUUGCAUGCUUAUACCGCAAAUUAACAUUUUUUCUUCAUUAGGCACUAUGUUUCUAAUUUCUUGUUUUAUUAAGUAAUGCUGCAGUGUACUAUCUUAUGCAUCAAUAUCUUCCCAGAAAUCUGGUUACCUACUUAAAGCUCAAUCACUGUGAUUUAGAAUUUUGUAGAACAAAAAAGGAAAGCAGUAUACACAAAGAAAAAGAAUAUAUACAAGUGAAACAAACCACAUGGUUAGAAAAUCACAAUAAAAAAUCUGUAAAUGUUAACACUGGUUAU
rnacentral:lncRNA from 1 species